rnacentral:piRNA from 1 species
UAGGGACGAGAGUUUGAGGGUAAUGAUAAA